CCUACGGGGGGCUGCAGUAAGGAAUAUUGGUCAAUGGACGAAAGUCUGAACCAGCCAUCCCGCGUGCAGGAUGAAAGCCCUAUGGGUUGUAAACUGCUUUUAGCAGAGAAGAAAAGCUUUCAUUAAUGAGAGUCUGACGGUAUCUGCAGAAUAAGCACCGGCUAACUCCGUGCCAGCAGCCGCGGUAAUACGGAGGGUGCGGGCGGUAUCCGGAAGUAAGGGGUUGUAGGGGUGCUAAGGCGUCAGUGGUGAAAUCUUGUCGCUUAACGAUAAAAUUGCCAAUGAUACUGGUACUAUUGAAUGGGGUUGAGGUUAGCGGAAUGUGACAUGUAGCGGUGAAAUGCAUAGAUAUGUCAUGGAACACCAAUUGCGAAGGCAGCUAACUGGGCCUUGAUUGACGCUGAGGCACGAAAGCGUGGGUAGCGAACAGGAUUAGAUACCCUUGUAGUC
rnacentral:rRNA from 1 species